AUUGAACGCUGGCGGCAUGCCUUACACAUGCAAGUCGAACGGUAACGGGCCUUCGGGUGCCGACGAGUGGCGAACGGGUGAGUAAUAUAUCGGAACGUACCUUUCAGUGGGGAUAACGUAGCGAAAGUUACGCUAAUACCGCAUAUUCUGUGAGCAGAGAAGCAGGGGAGCGCAAGACCUUGCGCUGAUUGAGCGGCCGAUAUCAGAUUAGCUAGUUGGUGAGGUAAAGGCUCACCAAGGCGACGAUCUGUAGCGGGUCUGAGAGGAUGAUCCGCCACACUGGAACUGAGACACGGUCCAGACUCCUACGGGAGGCAGCAGUGGGGAAUUUUGGACAAUGGGGGCAACCCUGAUCCAGCCAUGCCGCGUGAGUGAAGAAGGCCUUCGGGUUGUAAAGCUCUUUCGGCCGGGAAGAAAUCGUAUCAGCUAAUACCUGGUGCGGAUGACGGUACCGGCAUAAGAAGCACCGGCUAACUACGUGCCAGCAGCCGCAGUAACAC
rnacentral:rRNA from 1 species